rnacentral:rRNA from 1 species
CAGAGGGUGCAAGCGUUGCUCGGAAUUAUUGGGCGUAAAGGGUAGGUAGGUGGUCUCAUUUGUCUGGGGUGAAAGCCUUGAGCUUAACUCAAGAAGUGCCCCAGAAACGGUGAGACUAGAGUCCUGGAGAGGGUCGUGGAAUUCCCGGUGUAGCGGUGAAAUGCGUAGAGAUCGGGAGGAACACCAGAGGCGAAAGCGGCGACCUGGACAGGUACUGACACUCAACUACGAAAGCGUGGGGAGCAAACAGGAUUAGAUACCCUGGUAGUCCACGCUGUAAACGAUGGGUACUAGGUUUGGUGGGUCUUGACCCCCGCGAACCGGCGCUAACGCAAUAAGUACCCCGCCUGGGAAGUACGGUCGCAAGACUA